GUUUCAUAAAACCGUGUUCUUGAGUGGGACCACCUUUUUCCUGCAAACUUCUUUGUUGGAACGACCUCCUCGUCGGCUUGUUUCUUCCCCAGAAAAUCAUCGAGGACGUCGUGAGGUCACUUCCUGGAUCCGAAGAAAAGGAACCAUUUCCAGGCCCAGGGACAAGUACUUGUCUGAGGCGACAUAAAUGCCAGAACCUGACACUCUCAGCACACAGGGGGACAAACUCCUGGAGGUGACAGCAUUCUAUCCCAAAUAUGCCACAACUAUGACAAAACCACCAACAAAAGUGGGUUACAACUCCUGCAGCACUGUACACAGUCAAUGGUAGGCUUCAAGUGGGCUCUUACGGUUAACAGCUGUCUUUUUGGCCUGGUGCUGCAGUGCAGAUGUGGUCAGAGACCUGCAUAAUAGAUGGGAGGUUAACAGUUAAACAUUUAUGAUUGAGUGCUCUUCUGUCCCCCUGAUAAAUAAAGGUUCUUUGCUCAAUCCCUUCAAAAGUAUUGACACUCAUGUUCUCUCUCCUGCAUAGCAAUGUCCACCACAUUCUCCCCUGUCUAAGUCUGUCUAUAUCCUCCCUCAUCAAACUCCAAAAAGCAGGCUGAAGAACAGAGGAACAUUAUUUGGCUGAUUGCUCUUCCAUAACAAUCAAUGACACAGAACUGAGAUUGAAUGGAAACCAUUCUCUGUGAAUGUUUUAGUUCAUUCCUGUCAUUUCCCUCUCUCAGCAAUUGUGAGGGAUCCAAGGCAGAACACUAAAACAACAGUAGUAUAUUUGAACAUAAUUUCAAUAAAUAAUGUUAAGAAUUGAAUGCCUGUUAUGCAUUUUAUUGAUUACCACUUCAGGAGCUUAUUCUCCACUACCCACUGCUCAUUUUGUGUUCCAGCAUAAACACUUAAAGAUUGUUCUUAGCUUGCAAAGUGCUACUUGAACCUUUAUGUAAUAUAGUGAACAAUCCCUUUCUAAGCCAUUCUCUGUAAGUACCUUAUCUUUUGAGAAGUUCUCUUUAUACAAAUAUUAAACCUAUUAAAGCAGAACGAAUUUCCCUGAAGACAGGCUGUUGAACAUAAAACAUCUAUCAUCCAAAUUUCCCCAAGUACAUGCAUUCAACGUUGUAUAUCUCGUGGAAGGAUGAAUUAGUAUGAAUAAAUGUGAAAUAUAUCAAUCAUCAUUUGAAUAUGUUGGUAACCUGUUAUAUAAAAGUGAUAAUGCCUUCGACACUCAUGACAAUAUAUCCUCCUAACACUAGCUUAUCAGGCAUUAUUAUGUGACCAUGUUAAAAAUGUAUACUAGAUAUAAGUAUGGUAUAAUGCUCUCUAACUGUUAUUUUGUGUCCCACUGAGUGUAUACGCUGUACAGAGUGUUAAAGGAC